GCCAAAAUAGCUCAGUUGGGAGAGUGUAAGACCGAAGAUCCAAUGGUCCCUGGUUCAAUCCUGGGUUUUGGCU